rnacentral:rRNA from 1 species
GACGGAGGGUGCAAGCGUUGUUCGGAAUUACUGGGCGUAAAGGGCGCGUAGGCGGUCUGUUAAGUUCGGUGUGAAAGCCCCCGGCUCACCUGGGGAACUGCGCCGGAAAUCGACAGACUCGAGUACCGGAGAGGGAUGCGGAAUUCCAGGUGUAGCGGUGAAAUGCGUAGAUAUCUGGAGGAACACCGGUGGCGAAGGCGGCAUCCUGGACCGGCAUUGACGCUGAGGCGCGAAAGCCAGGGGAGCAAACGGG